UUUGAUAUUUUCUGGGAAACAGGAGAAAUUGUGGAAUUAACAGCAUUUCCAUCAUGUUGCAGAUAUAUUUGAUUUGGCUAACCUUGAUCAUCUUUAAAGAGUCAAGUGGGGAAAUUGUGGUCACUCAGACCCCGGCCUCUUUGCACAAAAAUCCUGGGGACAGAGUCGACAUUCAGUGCCAGACUUCCUCUUCAGUCACCCUUUCAUCCACUCAUUACAUGAAUUUCUAUCAGUUUCUACCAGGACAAAAACCUAAGCUACUAAUUUAUUAUGCUACCAACCGUUUUGAAGGGACCCCAGAUCGUUUCAGUGGAAGAGGAAGUGGCACUGACUUCACCUUCACUAUCAAUGGUGUGCGUCCUGAGGAUGAAGGGGAGUAUUACUGUGGGCAACACCGCAGCACACCUCUACACAGUGAUACACUUCAGUACAAAAACCUAGUUGAUGCUCUAUGACUGUAGCAGUAGUUUGAAUUGGGCUGUGCAAGAUUUCUUUGAAUGUACACAAAGAGAGGCAGAAAUAGGAAUUGCUACUGCCCUUUUUUUCUAUUACACCUUCCAACAACUCCUAAGAAAUGCUAAUA